rnacentral:misc_RNA from 1 species
AAAGUCGUAACAAGGUUUCCGUAGGUGAACCUGCGGAAGGAUCAUUAUCGAAUGCUUUCCAAGCAUCUCGCCUAUUGUGCACUGUACAAACUGUCCCUUUGGCGUGGCAUCAAAGGAGAAACACAUCGCGCUGUUCUCCUUUGGGCGCGGAAAUUCGCGGAAAUCACGCCCGCCAGGGGAUUUUUCUAUACAAACGUAUAAAAUUUUGUCAGACGAGCAUUAUUUCGAAAGAAAUAAAUGGAAAAUAAAUAAAAAGAGCACAACUUUUAACAAUGGAUCUCUUGGCUCUU